GGGGGUGAAAGGGUUCGACUUAGGUAAGUCGGAUAAAAGUAGCAUGCCGCGGAGGCAAGGUUGGCCGCGUUAACAAUCCUUGCAAAACAUAAACGCAAACUACAGAAAUGUAGGACUGUUGAGACCAUCUUUGGUCCCAGCAGGCGUUCCAGUCUUCGGGCUUAAUUAAGCCUGAAGCCUCUAUACGCCAGGUCUACGGGGCGUAAUAGAGCGGUUAGUAGACUAGUUGCGGUCUAUUAGCCUUUAGGGCCGCAGCGAAACUUAUAAAGGCUGCAUCCUGGCUAAUCCUGUUUAUCGGAGUUGCCAGGCUUAAGCAUAAAAGAUAAACUAAACAUGUAGCGACUUUUAUCUGAUUAUCUAAGGACGCGGCUUCAAUGCCGCCACCUCCACCA
rnacentral:tmRNA from 1 species